AAGUAUUCUUCGGUGCAGCCAGCGCUUCCACAGCGCGGCAGCCCAAACCUUACACACUGUGAUUAGUUUUUUACUAUUUACUUUGGCUGCACAGUGGCCAAAGGUCUUAAACACAAAGAUUUAUAUCUUUUUUUACAAAAUUUAGUCAAUGAAGUUUAAUACUAUAAUCUUCA
rnacentral:misc_RNA from 1 species